AGAAUAACUCUGGAGCUCGAUUUGAAAAGGUCGAAUGUGACAUUUUUGACUGUCUGAGAUAACUCUCUAUGAAGUUUCUCAAACGAUAUUCAAUUCCUAUUUCAAGCAAACAGCUAAAAAGCACACAAUAUACGUAUUAAGACACAAAACGAAAUCCCUCCCAAUAAACCUUUAAACAAACGCAUAAGAAUACACUCAUUUUUUUUAAUUUACGAGCAUACAUAAGUUUUUCGUCUAUCUGAGAUUGUUUGUGGUUCAUUCGACCUAAUCGAUACGACCUAAUGCCAGUCACCGCUGCACAUCGAACGGGCACGUUCAGACGUUUGACGUCUGAAAAUGUCCAUACGUCAAAGUACGAUCGGACUGAUUGAUGGUCAGUGAAGCACAUACGACCCACCGUUGUAAACAGAAAUAGAGAUUUUCAAAGAAUUUCUGGAGUUUUCUACAUAAAGAAGAUGCAACGGAUGCGGCUGUCGGAUAGAUUUACUUGCUCGUAUCUUUGAAAAAAUCUUCAUAAGGCAUCAUCGGUACUUCUGUGGUGAUGCUCGGAAAGCAACAGGC
rnacentral:lncRNA from 1 species